CUCAUAUUUGGAUGAAAUAAAAAACAUAAACAAAAUGAUUUCACAAACUCUGGUGCUGGUCUGAAAAGUUCGUCCGGAUCCUAAUAUUGCCGAAACUUUUACUGCAUCUGAAAAACCUGGCUGCAUCAGAGGUAUCAAGGAUCAUGUGAAAUCCGGUGGAAUCGGAAGUUACUGAGAACGGCUUCCAAGGCGCUUUGGGAAGGUGGCAGGGAAUGUCUUCUAUAGGAUCCCGUGAGUUACGCAAAUAAUGUCCUGAAAAGAUACAACAAUCUUUAGACGGUUUCCAUAGUUGGCCGCGUGUUCGUAGCUGUUGCCAACUCUUGCACAAAGUGCCAUGACCCAAUCAAAAAAUUAUGUUAUUUUUCGGAGAAAUACCGCAUUUUGCUUGAUAUCUUUAACCUAUGAACAACACUGUUUCAAAUUGUUGCAACGAAAAGGACUGGAUCUCA